GAAAGGAAGGCGACCACAGAGACCCAGCCUGGCCCAGCUCCACCGGCCAGCUCCAACCUCAGAAAGUUGGUUCCCUACUCAGGACCCUUGGUUUUCCCUCUCUAAGCAGUGGCCAGCGAGGUCAUUCUGCGAUGCUUCUGAGGACCGACAGCCACCUCAGGGCCACCGCCAACAAAUGGAGCCCAAAAUCCAACAGAACACAGACCAAAGCCACUAAGCUUUCUGCCUCGGGGUCUCAGAAUCUUCACAUCUCUGCUCCCAGAAUCUCUGCUCUUCUCCAACUCUGUCAGCCACCAGGUUUCCAGGAAAAUUUCCAGAAGACAGCCUUCAUCCCCAGCAUGGCUUGAGGUCCCAUCCAACCUCACAACCUCUUUGGCCUUUAGGACACUGUCCCCAAUUAUAAUCCAUAACUAUAAAAAUAAUUACUGUGUAUUUUGUUGUUGUUUGAUGUCCUUCUCCCCUCCUGUAUCUACAAAAUGCUGGGUAGAUGGUUAUGUACAUGUACAUUGUACACACACACACACACA
rnacentral:lncRNA from 1 species